CUAUGAUGAAUACUAAAGUGAAAAUAGCUGGAAUUACCUGCAGAUUGUAUAGUGGUGACAUUUGUUUUUGUUUUUUUAAC